UACGUAGGGUGCGAGCGUUGUCCGGAAUUAUUGGGCGUAAAGGGCUCGUAGGCGGUUUGUCGCGUCGGGAGUGAAAACCUUGGGCUUAACUCAGGGCUUGCUUUCGAUACGGGCAGACUAGAGGUAUGCAGGGGAGAACGGAAUUCCUGGUGUAGCGGUGAAAUGCGCAGAUAUCAGGAGGAACACCGGUGGCGAAGGCGGUUCUCUGGGCCAUUACUGACGCUGAGGAGCGAAAGCGUGGGGAGCGAACAGG
rnacentral:rRNA from 1 species